UUUCACCGAACAACCCCCAUAACGUUCAUAUAAGCAAUCUCCUAUAUAAUUUUUACAUCUGAAGGUGGCUUUAUUUAAGAGAGCCCCGAAAACCAGUUGCCGAUAUUAGUGUAAACUUAAUUCGUAGACCUUCCGUAUUAGAAGAUAGAUUUGGGAGACCUUCGAAUCAAUCUCAGCUUCUGAAAUCAGGGCGUCUUCUUGAGUUCCUUUCGAAGGCCUUCCCUAGUAGGAGCACUAGGAUGAGCUCAAGGCCCCCAGAUCUCACCUUCAAGCUUGUCCUUAUCGGCGACGACUGGUGUAGGUGGCAAAAAUUAAAACCUUGCUGCAAAUUAAUCAAGUUGAUCUGUAGAUAGGACACUGUAGCCAAACUGAGAGGCUUUGCCUGGAUGCUCGUCAAAUAUUGAAGCACAUGAUUCUUGCCAAUGUCAGCUCAUGAUUCUUGCCAAUCUCAGCUCUUUAAGGUGGAGGGUUCAUAGCUACAUGUAAAGACCAUUAUGAUCAGGUUUUAUAUGCUGGUGCUAGAUGUCUUCAGCAUGGAUUGAUACCCUUGGCUCAGUUGCGAGCAGUGGGAGGGACUGCAGUGGAUUCUCAGCUCAACACAUCUAACUUGGAAGUGACUAAAUGACUGCAACACAUUGUAUGAAUGGAUUCAUAUGCUUGGCCAUCUUAUAGCCUUUGAUAUUUGGCACAUUAUUGGUUCCCACAGAGUUUCCAUGUAACCCAUACCUACCAUGAGGACAUCAGCCAGCACUACUCUUGGUGCUGCUGAUUUUUGUAGAUUUUGAAGCUUUGCAUCCCAGCAUUCACACCUUAUUCUUUGGAGAGAGAACUACUGCAUACUCAUCUGUCACUUUUGCAGGACUAUUGCAACAGAAGAUAAAUGGUGCCAAGGUAUGUCACCUGCCCAACCAAGAAAAAGGGUUCCUAUUAUAGAUGAUGAGCCUGACAAAGAACCCCCGCCGAAAUGCUGGUUAUAGCCUUGGUAUGCAAUGAUUCAUAAGAUCAAUUACAGCUAUGCAGCAACAAUUGGAGCAAGACUCUGCAAUAUCUGGGACUGGAAUGGUUGAAGUCUUCCUUGAUUCUGUAAUACGUGAUUUUGAAAUUUGGCAAGAACUGGAUGUUUCUAAUUUAAGCACAAUUUUGCAUUCACACCUUAUUCUGUGGAGAGAGAGCUACUGUAUACUCAUCUAUCACUCUUGCAGGACUAUUGCAACAGAAGAUAAAUAGUGCCAAGGCCUGUUCCCUGCCCAACCAAGAAAAAGGGUUCUUAUUAUAGAUGAUGAGCCUGAGAAAGAACACCCGCCGAAGUGCUGGUCAUAGCCUUAGUAUGCAAUAAUUCAUAAGAUCAAUUACAGUAAAAUGAAGCCCGGUCCACCAUCCAUGUUUGUGAUUGCUUGAUAAUACUGAAAAUGGCACAAAAUGCCUUUGUUAUUUGUGGUGGCUCAAUUCUUCAACCAACGAACUCUCUUUUAGUCUAUCAAGUCGCCAUCCAAUGCUUCUCUUGAUACUAACCCAGAUUCGUUACUCAGCCUCUUAUCUCACGUCUCCCUCAAUGACACUGCUGAUCGUUUUGUCUGGAAAUCUGCUAUCAACGAUGAGUUUUCUACUUCAGCUCUCUAUCAAUUCUUAAACUUCAAAAAUAUAGCUUGCAGCUUUGCACUGACAAUCUGGAGCCGAAGCAUACCCUACAAAUUCAAGUGUUUCUUUUCUCUAAUUUAGAGGAAAAAACUCAACACUAGAGAGGAAAAAACUCAACACCAGAAAACAGUGGAUCAUUUCUUCUCCUCUUACGACCUUUCUGGAUCAAUUUGGAAAUGCUUUUGUUCAAGGCUCGGUGUUCUUCAUCCCCUUUCUUCCUUUGAUCAUCUUGCACUUAUUGGAUCCGUUACAAUUUUUCCAAGAAGAUAGGUCCCAUUAUUCUAAUGUUGCUGGUGAGCACCGCUUGGUGCUGUUGGAGGGAAAGGAAAUGCUAGGUUGUACCUCAGCAAAUGCAGAUCAUCUCCAUCAGUAGCUGCUGAAUCAAUUCAAUCUUUUCAUGAUCGAUCUUUGCUUUGUAAUAAGAUGGAACCGACUGAGUUUGGCAGAGUCUAGAACAAGAUAUGAGGCUCUCUUGCUGACAUCAAUGAUAGAUUCUUUCAGCAACCUCCUUUGCUAUCACAAAAUCCAGGCACUUCUCGCUUACCAACGUCCAUCUGAUGUUGUUCUGUUUGGCUAAGUAGCCUCUAUUUGGUGUACAGAUUGUUGUCUGCUGCUCUUC